AACGAACGCUGGCGGCGCGCCUAAUACAUGCAAGUCGAGCGAGAAGGUGUAGCAAUACACUUGUAAAGCGGCGAACGGGUGAGGAAUGCAUGGGUAACCUACCCUCGAGUGGGGAAUAACUAGCCGAAAGGUUAGCUAAUACCGCAUACGUUUCCGGAACUUCGGUUUCGGAAAGAAAGCAAUACCGUGGGUAUUGCGCUCCUGGAUGGGCUCAUGUCCUAUCAGCUUGUUGGUGAGGUAACGGCUCACCAAGGCUUCGACGGGUAGCUGGUCUGAGAGGACGAUCAGCCACACUGGCACUGCGACACGGGCCAGACUCCUACGGGAGGCAGCAGUAAGGAAUAUUGCGCAAAUGGACGAAAGCUUGACGCAGCG
rnacentral:rRNA from 1 species